AAUGGGGGAAACCCUGAUCCAGCGAUGCCGCGUGUAUGAAGAAGGCCUGAGGGUUGUAAAGUACUUUUAUUGGGGAGGAAAGGCAGAAGAUUAAGAGUUAUCUGCUGUGACGUUACCCACUGAAUAAGCACCGGCUAACUCCGUGCCAGCAGCCGCGGUAAUACGGAGGGUGCGAGCGUUAAUCGGAAUUACUGGGCGUAAAGAGUACGUAGGCGGUGAGGAAAGUUGGUUGUGAAAGCCCCGGGCUCAACCCGGGCGGGUCAAUCAAAACUGACUCACUAGAAUGCAGUAGAGGUAAGUAGAAUUUCCAGUGUAGCGGUGAAAUGCGUAGAGAUUGGAAGGAAUACCAGUGGCGAAGGCGGCUUACUGGACUGACAUUGACGCUGAGGUACGAAGGCGUGGGUAGCAAACAGGAUU
rnacentral:rRNA from 1 species